AUGUCGGCGUGUUGCGUGUCCGGCUGUAAGUCGACCUCCGCCGGCGGACUGCAAUUUUUCAAAGUACCCGUCGGGUCGAUGCCGUUUACGGCCAACCGGAGGCGUCUGUGGCUCAGAGCCCUCAAGCGCGUGAACGGCAGCACCAAGGAGCUCGCGCGAAACUCUUUUGUUUGCGGCGCUCAUUUUAAGUCACAAAGAGCCGCAUUGAACCCCGAUAGUCCCGACUUUGUGCCUUCCGUGUUUACGUGCGCUAAACGGAACCGAAAGAAAAAAAGGAAAAGCGUUUAUGGAAGAAGGCAACACCACAAAGCCGAUGUGGAAGAAAAAGCAACACCGCCCGUAGUUGAUUCUCCUAUGAAAAUAGAAACAUUGACUGAGGAGCCCAAGAUGGAAACCACACCUGUCAAACCAAACACAUCAUCCAGCCCACACAAGGCGUCGCCAUUAUUUAAAACCGCGGGGGGCAUCCCGCAGCUAGACAAAAGAAGUCCGUUUGUGCUGCUUAAAAAUAUAUAUCGAUCAUCUGGCGGGUAUCAGUGUGAGCAUUGCGAUCAGAGCGUCGCCAGCGUUUCACAGCUUAUGGAACACCGAAAACGGCACAGCUCCUUUGUCUGUGAGAAAUGUGGACUGUCCUUCGAAAGGCACGCCGAUUUCACCAAGCACCAAUGUGUCCCCGAGCCCUUCUUUCUGUGCAACAUGUGUGAUCGGUCUUUCUCUACACGGCCUAACCUCAAGCGCCAUCGGCUGAUGCACGUCAAAGACGGCAGGAAGUGUCCCACGUGCGGCGUGCUGUUCUGUCAACGCCACAAUCACGUUUUGUUCGCGCCACUGCCGCCGUCCAUAACCGAGUACGAAGAGGAUUCCACCGCCACCGGGCCCCAAAAUGCCUACGGCACUGAGCGGGAUCACCAUGCUGAAAGCAGUGUGGCCACCGAGACCCAACGUCCAGCCCCGUGUGCAAAGAUCUCUUCAGAAAUCUUUGUGCCCGUGUUAUGCAAGCCUCCCUCUCAGUCGGGUCCACCGCUGCCGGUAACCAAGGUUACAAGGAAAUCUCCGACCGCGUCGUGUCAUGCAUCCUUCGCUCAGACGCUUCUGCCUCCACAUCCAGAACUUCCACCCUCACUGAAGCUCUUUUCACCAAAGUACCUCACCUCAGCAUUUCUUCAGGUUAAAAGAAAUUAUGAAUAUAUUUUAAGCAAACCAAAAGGUGUCAACAAGACUUGUGAAGGAGAAACCAUGAAAGCGGCCUCUGAUUCCUCCGCAUGA
ensembl:lncRNA